ACUGCUCAGUAACACGUGGAUAACCUGCCCUUGGGUCCGGCAUAACCCCGGGAAACUGGGGAUAAUUCCGGAUAACGCAUAUGUGCUGGAAUGCUUUAUGCGUAAAAUGGAUUCGUCUGCCCAAGGAUGGGUCUGCGGCCUAUCAGGUAGUAGUGGGUGUAAUGUACCUACUAGCCAGCGACGGGUACGGGUUGUGAGAGCAAGAGCCCGGAGAUGGAUUCUGAGACAUGAAUCCAGGCCCUACGGGGCGCAGCAGGCGCGAAAACUUUACAAUGCGGGAAACCGUGAUAAGGGGACACCGAGUGCCAGCAUCAUAUGCUGGCUGUCCGGGUGUGUAAAAUACACCUGUUAGCAAGGGCCGGGCAAGACCGGUGCCAGCCGCCGCGGUAACACCGGCGGCCCGAGUGGUGAUCGUGAUUAUUGGGUCUAAAGGGUCCGUAGCCGGUUUGGUCAGUCCUCCGGGAAAUCUGAUAGCUCAACUAUUAGGCUUUCGGGGGAUACUGCCAGGCUUGGAACCGGGAGAGGUAAGAGGUACUACAGGGGUAGGAGUGAAAUCUUGUAAUCCCUGUGGGACCACCUGUGGCGAAGGCGUCUUACCAGAACGGUUCGACGGUGAGGGACGAAAGCUGGGGGCACGAACCGGAUUAGAUACCCGGGUAGUCCCAGCCGUAAACGAUGCUCGCUAGGUGUCAGGCAUGGCGCGACCGUGUCUGGUGCCGCAGGGAAGCCGUGAACGAGCCACCUGGAAGUACGGCCGCAAGGCUGAAACUUAAAGGAAUUGGCGGGGGAGCACAACAACGGGUGGAGCCUGCGGUUUAAUUGGAUUCAACGCCGGGA
rnacentral:rRNA from 1 species